UUUCAAAAUGAUUUCAAAUUCAAAGUUUUUAGUUAGUUGGCUUUUAGAUAGAUUUUAAAAAUUUGUAGAAAGUAAAAAUAGAAAUUAUUGCUUUAUUUAGAAUUUAGUUGAUACCUGUGGACAAUUUAAAAAUAUUCCAAGCACAAAAGAUUACAUUACCCUUUGAAACCAUUGGUGUGUCUUGGAAGUGUAGCGCAUUCAUCCAAGAUGAUUUAUUAUCAGCAUCGUAGAUGAAUAUGGAUGAAUGGAAUUUGUCUUCAGUGCUCUAUAAGUUUGUACUAUGGAGGGCUUUAAAAGUCGGAGGUACAAACUAUGGAGGCCUUUUAGCCUCCAUAGUUUGUACCUCCAGCUUUUAAAGCUUUGUAAGGGAUAUUGUAAUGAGGAGUUCAUCAAACAUCAGCAUAAUAUUCCAGGCUAUUAUGAAUAUUUUUACUGAAAAAUGAGCAGUAUGUUUUGUAGUAACAUUAAGCAGUAUUUCGAUGAUAUACGGGGCCCUGGGAUCUCUUGUACACAGUAUCUUUAAGUAUAUUUCGGUUUUAUUUAUUUAUUUUUUAAACUUUUGAAAACGUUACACUUUAAAAUUAUUAUAACAGGCGUAUUUUUAACACUAAACCCUUUAGAAUAUCACUUUCUUACUUGUAUUUUAUCAGUUCAACAUAACUAAACUCUUUCAACAUUUUAAUUCAGCUCAAAACGCCACUUCUUAAACUUGCAACACAUUUUCGCUCAUUUAAAUUGGAAACAAAGCGCGGGUAAAUGGUUACAGCGCCAUUUCGUCCUCGUGGUGUCUUUCGGAACUAUACGCAUGAGUGGCGCCACUCAGCGAGCGAUUGCCAAAACUUAUUAAUGUUUUCUGUAAUUUGUUGAAUUGUGGCGACACCUAUCGACUAGUACGCUAACGUUUAGCAGUUUUAUUACGGAUUUCUGUAACGAAUAUGUUGCGGCAUCUAUUAAUUAAUAACCGAACUUUAAAUAUUAAAUUAAUUAAUUUCGAGAAUCCUGUAAUUUUUUGUAUCAAAAAAUUGUUUAAUAAGCGCCAUCUCUAUGUGAAAUUUUACACUAUAUUUAAUUUUUUAACCGUAUAAUUUACAUUUUUAAACGUUUUUAGUUAAAUUUUAACUUGGAUUAAGAAAAAAACGUCGGCUUUGUUUAAGAAAGGAGCUGAUUUUUGUUUAGAAGGUAUGCCAAUAUUACUGCCCCUAAGAAACACUGGAAAUAUUGUAUGCUGCAAUUGUUCGGAAGACAUGGGCCUGAAAUUGGAAUAAGAAUAGUAUGGUAUAUUGCACUAUACACUUGAAUUUGCGCUAUGGACUAAAGAAAAGGGAAGAUUUGAAGGUAUUUGAUGACGAGAAGCAAGAAGAUGUUGAGCCCAUAGUUGAAAGAAAAUGUCCUAAAUUUGAUAAUAAUAAAAUGUUUAAUGCUGCAAUUCAACAUAAGUCACUUGAUGAAGGGCAGACAGUGUCUUAUACUUGAACACAAAAUAUAACUACGAGGAAAGUGAAAUUUUUUAAGACAACUGCCUUUUUUAUAUACUUCUUUGCAUCUUUUUGGAGUGAUAAAUAUGAAUCCCUUAAAUAUAACAAUGAUUUCUACAUGGAUAUACAGUACUUAUGAGAGCCUGCUCAAGAAAUUACAGAAUUAAAUGUGCAGUCCUUUCUUCUCAAUGAAGAAUCUCUUCAUAUACAAGCUUGAACGAGUCAAAAGCAUUGUGGAAUGGACAGAAAUUUGCCAUUGUCAUGAUUAAAGUGAUAUCUGUGUGAGUGAUGGGAACAGCUUGAAGGCCCUUUGAAUACCAAUUAGCUCAUAGUAUAGGAAAUAACAGUAAAUCUUAAAGUCAAGCAAGCAAGCAUACAGUUUCACUGCAGCAAUCUGACAGUGUCCAGGAUGUCCUUGAUGGAAUAUAAAGAAAAUAUGAAUUUACCAAGAUUCAGACAUACAUAUAUAUAUCCAGUCCAAGAUGAGAAAUGUUAAUAUAUGAUGUAUACAAUGAAAGUAUUUUGCUUUCUACUGGCCAGCAUUAAGUCCUUUGUAAAAUGGGUUAAAUAUUAACUCCAGAUGAUGGCCUGAUAUACAGACAAUUGAAGCUUUUUAUGUAUGUAACCCAGAGCCAUGUAGAAGAAUCAAGAUAACAAUGUAGAAGAAUCGACUGGUGAAGGGGUAUUGAAAUGGGGGGAUUUCUAUAUGGAUAAACAAUAUUUAUGAGAGCCAAAAUGUGCAGUCCUUUCUUCUCAAUGAAGAAUCUCUACAUAUACAAGCACGAACGAGUCAAAAGCAUUGUGGAAUGGAGAAAGAUUAGAAAUUUGCCAUUGUCAUGAUUAAAAUGAUAUCUGUGUGAGUGAUGGAAACAACUUGAAGGCCCUUUGAAUACCAAUUAGCUCGUAGUAUAGGAAAUAACAGUAAAUCUUAAAGUCCAGCAAGAGAGCAUACAAUUUCGCUGCAGCAAUCUCACAGUGUCCAGGAUGUCCUUGAUGGAAUAUAAAGAAAAUAUGAAUUUACCAAGAUUCAGACAUACAUAUAUAUAUCCAGUCCAUGUAGAAGUUUCCAUCCCCAUCUCCAUGAUCCAGGUCCACUACGUGCAACUUUUUUUAAACCUUGUAUAUUGUAUUUAUUUUAUU